rnacentral:rRNA from 1 species
GAUGAACGCUGGCGGCGUGCCUAAUACAUGCAAGUCGAGCGAACAGACGAGGAGCUUGCUCCUCUGACGUUAGCGGCGGACGGGUGAGUAACACGUGGAUAACCUACCUAUAAGACUGGGAUAACUUCGGGAAACCGGAGCUAAUACCGGAUAAUAUAUUGAACCGCAUGGUGCAAUAGUGAAAGACGGCUUUGCUGUCACUUAUAGAUGGAUCCGCGCCGCAUUAGCUAGUUGGUAAGGUAACGGCUUACCAAGGCAACGAUGCGUAGCCGACCUGAGAGGGUGAUCGGCCACACUGGAACUGAGACACGGUCCAGACUCCUACGGGAGGCAGCAGUAGGGAAUCUUCCGCAAUGGGCGAAAGCCUGACGGAGCAACGCCGCGUGAGUGAUGAAGGUCUUCGGAUCGUAAAACUCUGUUAUUAGGGAAGAACAAAUGUGUAAGUAACUAUGCACGUCUUGACGGUACCUAAUCAGAAAGCCACGGCUAACUACGUG